CUGCAACUCUGCGAUUUAGAAAAUAUAUACUCCUUGUUAAUAAAGUGGUGCAUAUAUACUCUUAUCGUCUAACAAAUGAUGUAUGUAUGCUCUUUUCAUUAACAUAUCUAUAUUUGUUGAAUUAAAAACAUUCUAAAAUUAGUUCUUUAAUUCCAAAAAUGUCAUAUGGCUUUAAAUAAUUCAUUCACUCAUUUUUUUCUCCUCAGGAUCAAACACUUAAAAAAAACUCAAUGUCUACUCUAUUGAAUCAUAAAAUGGGGUUGAAUUAGGUCUGACUAAAACAGGGAUUGAAUUCUUUUUUUCAGUUGCUUCUGGUCUAUAGGGAUUAAAAAUGGGUAGUUAACUUUUUGAAGUUAGUUAAGAUUUUUGAAAUUAAAAAAAUAAUUUUAGAAUUCUUUUUAAUUUUAGUUAAUGGAAAGAUAAAUAUAUACUAUUUAUUAGACGAUAAGGAUAUAUCUGCACCAUUUCAUAGACAAAUAUGAGAAUAUUUUCUCCACUUUUUAAGCAAAGGAUAUAUAUUCUUUAAAUUGCAAAUUUAAGGGGUAUAUUUGCCGUUUAUCCCUUUCCAAUACAAUAGGUGUUAAUUAGUACUGCAACUCAGUUGAACAUCGUGAUUAAUGAGUGAGUAGGUGGGUUACGUGAAUCUCUUCAGCAGUGAAAAGUAAUGGGACAAUUGAGGCAAUGAAAAACAGUGUUUCAAUAGAAGAAUUUUCAAAGCCAUCAAUUACACCACUGUCACACUUGUACCAAAGGUUACGAGGCCAUUAUCAAAAGGUACCAUGGAGAAAAUUCACCUGUAAUGACUUGGGAUUUCCUAGAUAGAUCUUUAUAUUGUAACUAGCGACCCAUAAGAGACUUACUACUCGAGAUAGAUUACAUAAAUGGAAUAUCUCAGCAAGUCUGGUCUGUCCUCUUUGUGAGCAGGUAAAUGCGAGUAUUGCAGACUUAUUCAUUGAAUGUGAUAUGUCAGCAUACAUAUGAAGGAUGCUAAUGCAAUUCUUGAGUAUCAACAGAGGCCCUAUGCUGUGGAAUGCAAAACUGCUGAGAAAUAUGCAAGGGGAAAAAGUUCAAGAGAUUAAGUAUAUAAAAUGAUGCUUGUCGAGGCUGUGUACUACAUUUGGAGGGAGAGGAAUAUGCAAAUAUUCUAGCAGAAAAAAUAACAACCAAAGAUCCUGAUAAGAAAUAUCAUCCAAGAGAUUCACUUUAGAGCUAGCAGCAAGACCAGAAUAGUAAGAUGGUUGGAAAAUUUUAGUACUUAUCCAGUGUAAUGCCUUCUGAGCAACUGUAUCUAGGCUCGGUUUUAAGCUUGAACUGAUUACUGGGUCGAUUGUCUAGUAGCUUGUUCACCGGUUGUACUUCAAUUCUCACUUUUAGUAAUACAAUUAUUUACCAUAAACACACGCACACACAAAUAUAUAUAGGGUUGAUUUUAAAAUCCUAAA